GUGCAGCCGCCGCGGUAAUACCGGCAGCCCGAGUGAUGACCGAUCUUAUUGGGCCUAAAGCGUCCGUAGCUGGCUACGCAAGUCCGUCGGGAAAUCCACUCGCCCAACGAGUGGGCGUCCGACGGAAACUGCAUAGCUUGGGACCGGAAGGCUCGAAGGGUACGUGCGGGGUAGGAGUGAAAUCCCAUAAUCCCGCACGGACCACCGAUGGCGAAAGCACUUCGAGAAAACGGAUCCGACAGUGAGGGACGAAAGCCAGGGUCUCCAACCGGAUUAGAAACCCUAGUAGUCC
rnacentral:rRNA from 1 species